rnacentral:lncRNA from 1 species
UUGAUGGGCAGUUUUUGCUCUGGGGUUUCUCAUCGGCCUGGCCUUGCUAUUUCAGACCUUGAUUGUAGUCUGAGGCUUUUCCUACUCAAACCUCCUUCACUCCUUUGUGAUCUGAAGAGGGCCUAAACUGACAGAGGAUGUAAGAAUUCAGAAGAAUUUUGUGGUACUCAAUUGCAGGAAGUGGAGCUGGAAUUCCUGGGAAGGGAAACUUUUGUCCAAACAGCAAGUGUGGAGAAAGUUUUUUUGCUCAGAUAUGGAAGAGACUGCAGCCUGCAACAAACAAUGAGGAAGAGGAUUUAUGAAUGUAGCUUCCUAUGUCAACUUUAAUGAAUUUUCUUGUCUUCAAGUUUGCCUUCCAUGCCCAAUUUUGGAGAUACUGGUGUUUCUUAUUUUUUCUAAACUUUUUUUGCCAUUAUUU